UGUUGAACAGGCUUUAUGAUGUCUGUGUCCUCCCAGGAGAAAACAUCAGAGAAAGAGAAGAAAGAAGAUCUUGAUAAAGAAUUCAGAAGAUACAUUUUGCUUAUAAAAUGAUCUAGGCCCAAGAACAAGGAAAACAUCUUAUUUCACUAAGCUUGCAGGAUGCGUUUUGAAUUCACUAGAUUCCACUCACCCAACCCAGAAGGCAAACAUUGAGUAUGGCUACAUUCAUAUUUUUUAAAAAUGAGAGAGAUUAAAAAGGAAAGCUGAAAUGAACCUUGGAAGACCAGCUUCCCCCAUUUGACUGUUAGAUAAAUUGACAGCCAGAGAACAACACUGAUUUGUCCAGAGCUGCAACGAAAAUUAGCUAUAGGUCUAUUACUAGGACUUGGGUCUAUAUUCAAUUAUUCAUAGAAAAAAAUAUUUACCGAGCACCUAGAAGGAAUUGACACUAUUCUACCCUUCUACCCUUGAGGUUGGGCUAUCAAUAAUCCCACAAAUAAAUGCAGAGUUAGAACUGUGACAAAUGAGAAGUCACACAACACUAUGAGGACACGGAGUGGUGGCAAGUGGCAAGAGAGGAGACUGGAAAGUGAUGUUGAAAGUAAGUGGACCAUAAAAGAUGCUGUGGAUCAUGUUCAGUCAUUCAUUCGUUUACUCAUUUACUCAUCCAGCAUAUAUGUUGAGUAUCCACCAUGAAAAAAGUAUCUUACUGAGCACGAGAGAUUGAGCGAUGAACAAAACGGUCUCUGUCUUCUUGAGGAUUACAUUCUAGUAGAAGAGAAACAAAGAAAAUAAAGAAAUAUAUAGAAAUAUAAUGUGUCAGAUAGUAACAGGUACCAUGAUGAUAACUGAGGCAGGAACAGGGAGUGGAGGCUGAAGGGAACAGGGAGUGGAGGCUGAAGUAUUAUUUUAGAAAGAAUGACUAGGCAAGCCGCUUUGUUAAGAUGCAUUUUGAGCACAGAGAAGUGAAGAAGAGAGGCAUUCCGAUACAAGAAGGACAGGGCUCCAAGUAGAGGGAGCAGCACAGGCAAAGGUGUGAGCUCAGAACACACUGAGAAUAUUUAAGGAAUAGCAAAGAAGACAAUAUAUGUAGAGCCCAGUCAGCAAAGGGGAAAGAAUCUGGAAAUCUUAGAAGAAGGAGUUUAGGGCUUUGGAGCAUUAUGCAAAGACUGGCCUUGACUGAAUGGGAUGGGAAGUUAUUGCAAUGGUUAGAGCAUAAGAAGAUCUGACUUUUGCUUUAGGAGGGUCUCUGUGGAUAUAGACUAUAUGAGUAGAGUCUCCUGGAAUGUGGACUUGUGGCCAUGGCAGCAAGCUAGAUCCUGCGGAUGGUAGAGGACUGGAGGAUGGGUAGAAUGACAGUGUUUGUUUGUCAUCUGGAGCUAGGGCUGGUCAUUCUCCAUGUCCAGGAGAAACAUGAGGUUGGCUGCAAAGAGAAAGAAGGAGACAGAAGCAUAGAAAAGUGUGGAGAUAAGAAAAGAGUGGCAUGUAUUCAAUGCCUAGUUCUGGUCCCUUCCUGAGUGAGGCCCAGUAGUCUUUCUAAAUUAGGUAACUAAAACAUUCUUCUGUGGCAAUAAUAAACACAACUU
rnacentral:lncRNA from 1 species